ACAAUUGAUUCAGGUUUUUUUUCUCAAGUGGGGAUGCAAAUUGGGCAUCAAGGUGUACGACAGAGGAUGACAAACGAUUACGUUGUGCACGUUAGUCCGCGUACAACUUAAAAGUUGAUUGAUACUUUUCAUUUUAUAUUGAUGUUCCCUCCAGCGAGAACAAUUUUUUGACUGGAUGUGUUUAAUUAGAUAUGCUCUUUUAUUUGUGCGAAGUUGUUCAGACUUUUCUUUGAUUCAUUAUUUUAGCUGCAUAAAAAAGGAGUACGAGUACUGUUUGGUUCCAUGCAGGACCAACCAAGGAAGAGAAGCAAAUCACAACCCUUUAGUUCAUGGUCUAGGAGCAGGAAGUUAAUUAUCCGCUUUCAAGUAUUUGUUGCCGAAGUGAGCAUCUAAUUGCAGGAAUUCUGUGAGGGCUUCUCUACACUGGUACAGUCUCUCGCUGGUACACGAUUUGAGGCAUAGGAGGGAGGGGCACGUUGCGAUGUCGUCUUUGGUCAUGGCUAUAGCUUAUGAGAAGAAUGGGAUUUAUGCUUUGGCAGACUGCCCCGUGGUUAGCAAGUCAUUAUUGCCGCCUCCGCUUCCCAAGUUGCCUCGGCUUGCUGUUGGUGUGUGCUGCUUCUGCAGCUCCUGCCGGCCGCCUCUUAGGUUGGGUUUUGCAGCCACUACUGAAGUUUCC